rfam:Mogibacterium pumilum strain ATCC 700696 genome.
UGACUCGAUAGAGGUUGCGGAACUCAAUAGUACUUGGUAGCUACAGCGUGGGAAGCUGCUACCAAGGAAAGGGAAAUCCGCCGAAGGGAAUAUCGCCCCAACGAUAUUUUCUGGGACGGUGCAGAAUAUGCGCCGAACUGUCACAUCGUAAAAUGUGGAGCGCUAUCAAUGGU